AUUGAACGCUGGCGGCAGGCCUAACACAUGCAAGUCGAGCGGAUGAAGGGAGCUUGCUCCUGGAUUCAGCGGCGGACGGGUGAGUAAUGCCUAGGAAUCUGCCUGGUAGUGGGGGAUAACGUCCGGAAACGGGCGCUAAUACCGCAUACGUCCUGAGGGAGAAAGUGGGGGAUCUUCGGACCUCACGCUAUCAGAUGAGCCUAGGUCGGAUUAGCUAGUUGGUGGGGUAAAGGCCUACCAAGGCGACGAUCCGUAACUGGUCUGAGAGGAUGAUCAGUCACACUGGAACUGAGACACGGUCCAGACUCCUACGGGAGGCAGCAGUGGGGAAUAUUGGACAAUGGGCGAAAGCCUGAUCCAGCCAUGCCGCGUGUGUGAAGAAGGUCCUCGGAUUGUAAAGCACUUUAAGUUGGGAGGAAGGGCAGUAAGUUAAUACCUUGCUGUUUUGACGUUACCAACAGAAUAAGCACCGGCUAACUUCGU
rnacentral:rRNA from 1 species